AUGAGUGCACAUUUUAGGCUGGAAGUCACCCGCAGGAUUCCUUCUUUCAACACACCAUCAAACCGAGCAGCUCGAUAUCAAGCCUAUGCAGAAACCAAAUACAGCCUUGGGACCCAAAUUAAGGUAACUAAGAGAAAUAUUAUCAUCAAAACACAUCAGGAGUUUGGCUGCAAUUAGCAGAGCGUUGCAUGUCGAGAAGCCCUGGAUGUGUGAGUUGCAUUCCGUCCUUCAGUUCUUCCUCUGCUGUUAAAAAUCCCUUUGAAGAGGACCUUUCCCUGUUGACCCGUUCACUAGACUAAUGAGGGUAAUUUUGUAGCCUUGACAUCCCCAAACCCACCACUUCCAUCAUCCUCUGCUCCCACACAGUCCCACCUCCUACUGUUUAAUUGGCCAAGAUCUGGUUCCAGCAGCUUUUAUGUUAUCUGCACGUGUCUUGUAUCUGUUGUUCCUCUACCAAGCCCUGAUGUUUAAAACAUGACGUAUCAAUGCUGGCACUUGGUGAUUCAUAAUUGUACCGUUUUUCUGCUCUUAAAAAUG
rnacentral:lncRNA from 1 species